AUACAGAGGGUGCAAGCGUUAAUCGGAAUUACUGGGCGUAAAGCGUACGUAGGCGGUUUGGUAAGUCAGAUGUGAAAGCCCUGAGCUCAACUUGGGAACUGCAUUUGAAACUGCCUGACUAGAGUGUGUUAGAGGAUAGUGGAAUUUCCGGUGUAGCGGUGAAAUGCGUAGAGAUCGGAAGGAACACCAGUGGCGAAGGCGGCUAUCUGGAUCAACACUGACGCUGAAGUACGAAAGCGUGGGGAGCAAACAGGAUUAGAAACCCCAGUAGUCC
rnacentral:rRNA from 1 species